UACGGGGGGGGGGGCAAGCGUUGUUCGGAAUUACUGGGCGUAAAGGGCUCGUAGGUGGCCAACUAAGUCAGACGUGAAAUCCCCAGGCUUAACCUGGGAACUGCGUCUGAUACUGGAUGGCUUGAAUUCGGGAGAGGGAUGCAGAAUUCCAGGUGUAGCGGUGAAAUGCGUAGAUAUCAGGAGGAACACCAGUGGCGAAGGCGGCUCACUGGUCCGGUACUGACGCUGAGGUGCGAAAGCGUGGGGAGCAAACAGG
rnacentral:rRNA from 1 species